rnacentral:rRNA from 1 species
GUUGAACGCUGGCGGCAGGCUUAAAACAUGCAAGUCGAGCGAGCGGCGGACGGGUGAGUAGUGUCUGGGAACAUGCCUGAUGGAGGGGGAUAAAUAGUGGAAAAGGUAGCUAAUAACGCAUAACAUCAGAUGGGCCCAGAGGGGAUGAGCUAGUAGGUGGGGUAAUGGCGCACCGAGGCGUCGAUCCCUAGCUGGUCUGCGAGGAUGAACAGCCACACUGUAACUGAGACACGGUCCAGACUCCUACGGGAGGCAGCAGUGGGGAAUAUUUCACAAUGGACGCAAUCCUUAUGUAGCAAUGCCGCGUGUGUGAAGAAGGCCUUCGGGUUGUAAAGCACUUUCAGCGAUGAGGCGGGACUCACAGAAGAAGCACCGGCUAACUCCGUGCCAGCAGCCGCGGUAAUAC